rnacentral:rRNA from 1 species
UACGGGGGGGGCAAGCGUUGUUCGGAAUUACUGGGCGUAAAGGGCUCGUAGGUGGCCAACUAAGUCAGACGUGAAAUCCCUCGGCUUAACCGGGGAACUGCGUCUGAUACUGGAUGGCUUGAGUUUGGGAGAGGGAUGCGGAAUUCCAGGUGUAGCGGUGAAAUGCGUAGAUAUCUGGAGGAACACCGGUGGCGAAGGCGGCAUCCUGGACCGGUAUUGACGCUGAGGAGCGAAAGCCAGGGGAGCAAACGGG